rnacentral:rRNA from 1 species
UACGGAGGGGGCAAGCGUUGUCCGGACUCACUGGGCGUAAAGGGUGCGUAGGUGGCUUGCCACGUCGGUGCUGAAAGCGCCCGGCUUAACCGGGCGAGGCGUGCCGAUACGAGCGAGCUCGAGCCUCGGAGAGGGCGGUGGAACUCCUGGUGUAGUGGUGAAAUGCGUAGAGAUCAGGAAGAACACCCGUGGCGCAAGCGACCGCCUGGCCGAGUGCUGACCACUGAGGCACGAAAGCGUGGGGAGCGAACCGG